AUACGGAGGAUCCGAGCGUAUCCGGAUUUAUUGGGUUUAAAGGGUGCGCAGGCGGCCAUUUAAGUCAGCGGUUAAAUCGUGGGGCUCAACCCCAUUCUGCCGUUGAUACUGGGUGGCUUGAUUGCGGUCGAGGUUGGCGGAAUUCGUUGUGUAGCGGUGAAAUGCAUAGAUAUGACGAAGAACACCGAUUGCGUAGGCAGCUGACCAGACCGCAAAUGACGCUCAUGCACGAAAGUGCGGGGAUCGAACAGGAUUAGAUACCCUGGGAGUCCGCACAGUAAACGAUGAAUACUUGUUUUCGGCGAUAUAAUGUCGGAGGCAAAGCGAAAGCGAUAAGUAUUCCACCUGGGGAGUACGCCGGCAACGGUGAAACUCAAAUGAAUUGACGGGG
rnacentral:rRNA from 1 species